UACGUAGGGCGCAAGCGUUGUCCGGAAUUAUUGGGCGUAAAGAGCUCGUAGGCGGCUUGUCACGUCGGGUGUGAAAGCCCGGGGCUUAACCCCGGGUCUGCAUUCGAUACGGGCUAGCUAGAGUGUGGUAGGGGAGAUCGGAAUUCCUGGUGUAGCGGUGAAAUGCGCAGAUAUCAGGAGGAACACCGGUGGCGAAGGCGGAUCUCUGGGCCUUACCUGACGCUGAGGAGCGAAAGCAUGGGGAGCAAACAGG
rnacentral:rRNA from 1 species